rnacentral:rRNA from 1 species
ACGCGUGGAACCUUACCAGGUCUUGACAUCCCAUUGACCGCUAUGGAGACAUAGCUUUCCUUUCGGGGACAGUGGUGACAGGUGGUGCAUGGUUGUCGUCAGCUCGUGUCGUGAGAUGUUGGGUUAAGUCCCGCAACGAGCGCAACCCUUGUUCUUAGUUGCCAUCAUUUAGUUGGGCACUCUAAGGAGACUGCCGGUGACAAACCGGAGGAAGGUGGGGAUGACGUCAAAUCAUCAUGCCCCUUAUGACCUGGGCUACACACGUGCUACAAUGGAUGGUACAAAGGGCAGCAAAGCGGCGACGCCUAGCAAAUCCCAUAAAACCAUUCUCAGUUCGGAUUGUAGGCUGCAACUCGCCUACAUGAAGCUGGAAUCGCUAGUAAUCGCGGAUCAGCAUGCCGCGGUGAAUACGUUCCCGGGCCUUGCACACACCGCCCGU